rnacentral:tRNA from 13 species
UGGCCCAUGGGGGGAUCGAACCCACGACCUUCGCGUUAUUAGCACGACGCUCUACACCUGAGCAAUGGCCC